rnacentral:tRNA from 2 species
ACUCAAUUAGUUUAAUUAAGAAUAUUGGUUUGUGAUAUCAAAGGUAUAUUAUUUAUAUUGGGUU